CACGUAGGGUGCGAGCGUUGUCCGGAAUUAUUGGGCGUAAAGAGCUCGUAGGCGGUGUGUCGCGUCGGCCGUGAAAACCUGCAGCUUAACUGUGGGCUUGCGGUCGAUACGGGCAUCACUGGAGUUCGGCAGGGGAGACUGGAAUUCCUGGUGUAGCGGUGAAAUGCGCAGAUAUCAGGAGGAACACCGGUGGGCGAAAGGCGGGUCUCUGGGC
rnacentral:rRNA from 1 species